CUACGAGAGGCUGCAGUGGGGAAUAUUGCACAAUGGAGGAAACUCUGAUGCAGCAACGCCGCGUGGAGGAUGACACUUUUCGGAGCGUAAACUCCUUUUAUAUAGGAAGAAGAUGACGGUACUAUAUGAAUAAGCGCCGGCUAACUCCGUGCCAGCAGCCGCGGUAAUACGGAGGGCGCAAGCGUUACUCGGAAUCACUGGGCGUAAAGAGCGUGUAGGCGGAUUAAAAAGUCAGAAGUGAAAUCCUAUAGCUUAACUAUAGAACUGCUUCUGAAACUCUUAAUCUAGAAUAUGGGAGAGGUAGAUGGAAUUUCUGGUGUAGGGGUGAAAUCCGUAGAGAUCAGAAGGAAUACCGAUUGCGAAGGCGAUCUACUAGAACAUUAUUGACGCUGAGACGCGAAAGCGUGGGGAGCAAACAGGAUUAGAUACCCUGGUAGUC
rnacentral:rRNA from 1 species